CCUUCAAUCCGCCGUCCGUAACUAACACACACACACACACACACACACACACACACACACACACACACACACACACACACACACACCGAGUGUCUCUCUCUUUCUCUCUCUCUCUCACACACACACACGGAGACUCAAUUACUGCCCAAUUCCCCCUUCUUCAUCAUCUCCAGCUCCACCGGCCUCUCAACACAAAAAAAAGAAGAAGGAAAAACACCAAACCCGAGAUCUAAAAAGUGUUCGUUCGAAGGACGAGGUGGAUUUUUAACGCGUCGCUAAGCUAACUAUCGGAAAACUGACGGUGGCAGUGCAGUGAUGUUACAGAGUUGAGGACACUCCCACACAAUAUGGAGUCUGGAGAGCGACUGGCUUCGCCUUCCUCCACCCCGGUCUCCGUACACACCAGCUCAUCUUCAUCUUCAUCCUCCGUGUCCCCAGCCUCCAACGCCAAGAGCAGCCUGAACCACGGAGCCACAGCCUCACUCGCCGCCUGCGGUAAGAACACACACACACACACACACACACACACACACACACACACACACACACACACACACACACACACU